rnacentral:lncRNA from 1 species
AGGGUCCCUUGUCUCUGAGCGGGAGGCAGGGUCUGCCCCCCACGCUGUGGGCCGUGCUGGGCGCCUGGAGCCCAUGCAGGGGGGUAUGUGGGCCAGGCCGCAGCUCUGGGAGGGGCCAGGUUCACACCAGCCCUGCCCCCCACCGGAGGUGCAGGCGCGCCCACACAGCAUCCUGCCCUGAACUUUGUCCCACCGGUGGCGUCGGGGGUAAAGUGCCGAUUCUGAAGGGUGUAAUGGUGCGCGAGGGACCUAAUGGGGUUUGCCAUCAGGCUCCUUGGACUCGCGUCAACAGUGGUGACCACAGGCUCAGCCCCGCCUGCCCAGCCGGGACAACACUGACGGACCCAAGUCGGGGCCCACUGUGCCCCUCCCGCCUGUGGAGCGUCUUAGGCACAGGGCCAGCUGGAGGGGCUGGAGACGACCUCGGUGUGGUGGCCCGCGGAGGGCAGGGAACCCCCCCGUCCGCCGCGGUAUCCGGAAGGCGGGUCUGCGUGUCUGAGGCUCUCCCUGCCCGCUCUGCAGACCCCGGCUGCUGCCGUCUCCCGCGGCUGCCAUGCUCCCUGCCUUCUCGUCCUGUUUAAAUAUUUAUUCCAGUUAAAUAUUAAAGGUCUUCCAAGUCCCAAUUA